CGCGCACAAAUGGGCCAAGCCCAGUCUCGCGUGACUUCAUCCGGAAAACCGCAAACCCUCGCGCUCAUCCUCCUCCAAAGAGCUUGGGUCGGCGGCCUCCGGACGGCGCGUGGCUGGGAGCGAGAUGAAGAACGGGCGGCGGCAGCGACGACCCCUUCCAAGUGAAGAUCUUGGCAGGGAUGGUAUCAGAGCAUCGAUUCUCGGCGGCGGCUUCACUUCCUUCGCGGUCCGAUUUGUAGCAAUUCCUCACUCUCCUCUCCCCAAAUCUCGCUCCUAAAUCGCAUAGCCACAAAUUAUCAGCGCCGCCGCCCAUCCGCUUUUCCUCCAUCUCCAACGCACACCGCCGCCACGCUUCUCAACCUCCACCCCACCCGCCUCCCCUAAUCUCUAAUCCUCCUGCCGGCUCUUGAAUCGAUUCCGUGCGAUUCUCCAUCCCCCAGGUUGCCCCGCAGGGACGCCGAGCACCGUGCGCCUACGCCCUUCCGACGAGUCUCUGGUGCCCCUCCUUUCAUCGGAUUGCCCAGCCGACGCCGCUGCUGUUGGACACUGGCAUGACCGCUCCAUCUCGUUAGCGAGUUCCGCCCGAGAGCCGCCACUCGCCGGAGCUCCGGCCUCCUCAACUAACUCCAAGCGCAAGCGUGACGUCGAGCAGCUCUCCACAACCCACACCUAGCAGGUGUCGUGCUAGAGUGAUUGCACAGAAAGGCUUGAGCUUUACUAGCUACCAGAGCGGCAUAGGCUGAUAUUCCUCAACAAUGCAUUUGCCAUGAGCCAGCACUCGUGUAUUGGGUAUCAGGACAACAGGUUUGAUCCAGCUAUGCUUGGUCCAAGUGUGUCUGCGUGCACGGUAGCUGAACAUGUUGCGCAUAAGGUGUUUGAUCCAACGCAAGUACCAGGCUACACACAACAACUGUUUGGUAAAAUGACAACGCCAGGUAUAUGGAAUGCAAACUUCAUUCACUCGCCUCCAAUUGCAGCCGAAGCAUGCCCAUUUGCUGGAGGUAAUGGUACUAGAAGUGGAGCCCCUCAGAUUUUCAACACAAGGCCAACAACUAGCACAACCCAUCUGUCUGACACUCCCGCAACAAGCUCGUCAGCGAGCUCUCCUUCUGAUGCAUCAACUACUGCGUAUGUAGUACCGCAGAUGUUCAGUGAAAUGCUGCAACCUUAUGGGCUCCAUAAUCUCAAUCGCCAAAGUCUGUUCCUAGCGGAUGGAACCGAGUGCAGCUACUUUACUCUGCUGGCAGAUUAUCCGUUGGAGCAGGCAACUCCACCAACACCACAUUCAGCAGUGGUAAGAGGUAGUGUCGCAGCCCCACCAUCUGUAGCAGCACAAGUAGCAUGUCUGGCUCCAGGUCUAUGCUCCAACACCAACACCACAACCGGUGAGUCGAUGCUCCUUUACAAUCUGCAAGUUCCAACAACUAUCCAAGAUGCUUCCAGUGUGUUCAAGGAAAUGCCUGUAUCAUAAGCAUGUGCACAAGUAUCCAUCUAAGACAUGGCUAUCAUUAUCUUGCCCUCGGCCAUGCAGAAAAUGGCUCACCCUGAAGGUUAAUUGAAUCUGAUUUGCAAGCGCUCUUCACAUGUUUUAGAGCAAUGUUCUCAUGAAGAAAUUUGUCAGUUACAGAGGAGAGACUGCUACUGCAAGAGCAGCUGCAACUGCAGGAACCAUAAUGGGCACUGUCUUCAUGGGCUACUUAUAGCGUUGAAGAGGUUAACUAUGUAGGAACGGGGAUACAUUUCUUCUAACGUUAAGGAAAGCUAGAUGGCAUGGAUAAAGGAGGAACCAUGACUAAGCCUGGGUGAUGGUAUGAAGGUGUUGGCAUAGAUGUCAAGUAUGCCAAUCGAGAUACUAUUAUCUUUAGUUUCUGGUCAACUUUAAAACUGCGGAGGUUUUGCAACAUCUAGAGAUCGAGCUGGGACAACCACACAUCAACCAGAGGACAAAUGAGCCGCACCUUUACGUGUUUUCUACUCUAGAUUUGAUUAUGUUUUAUUCGAAUCUCUAAAUUCAUUAUCUAUUUGGUGUAUGAUUUGAUAGUCAUCUGAAUCAUUAAGGAGGAGCAAGAAAAUCUCAAGGCUACUACCCAACAUCCUUUAAAGCUGAUAACAUAGCAUGAAUUAGUUGGAACGGUAUGCAGGGUGCAGGCUCAGACCGUGGAACUUUUGUGGUGAGUUCCACAUGAGGGACUUGAUUUAGGCUUUUGCAGGUGGAGAUGCUACGAAAGA